rnacentral:rRNA from 1 species
UGAGGAAUAUUGGUCAAUGGACGGAAGUCUGAACCAGCCAAGUAGCGUGCAGGAUGACGGCCCUAUGGGUUGUAAACUGCUUUUGUAUGGGGAUAAAGUUAGGGACGUGUCCCUAUUUGCAGGUACCAUACGAAUAAGGACCGGCUAAUUCCGUGCCAGCAGCCGCGGUAAUACGGAAGGUCCAGGCGUUAUCCGGAUUUAUUGGGUUUAAAGGGAGCGUAGGCUGGAGAUUAAGUGUGUCGUGAAAUGUAGACGCUCAACGUCUGAAUUGCAGCGCAUACUGGUUUCCUUGAGUACGCACAACGUUGGCGGAAUUCGUCGUGUAGCGGUGAAAUGCUUAGAUAUGACGAAGAACCCCGAUUGCGAAGGCAGCUGACGGGAGCGCAACUGACGCUUAAGCUCGAAGGUGCGGGUAUCAAACAGGAUUAGAUACCCUGGUAGUCCGCACAGUAAACGAUGGAUGCCCGCUGUUGGUACCUGGUAUCAGCGGCUAAGCGAAAGCAUUAAGCAUCCCACCUGGGGAGUACGCCGGCAACGGU